AACGAACGCUGGCGGCAGGCCUAACACAUGCAAGUCGAACGCCCCGCAAGGGGAGUGGCAGACGGGUGAGUAACGCGUGGGAACCUACCUUUCGGUGCGGAAUAACUUCGGGAAACCAAAGCUAAUACCGCAUACGCCCUACGGGGGAAAGAUUUAUCGCCGAUAGAUGGGCCCGCGUCGGAUUAGCUUGUUGGUGAGGUAACGGCUCACCAAGGCGACGAUCCGUAGCUGGUCUGAGAGGAUGACCGGCCACACUGAGACUGGGACACGGCCCCGACUCCUACGGGAGGCAGCAGUGGGGAAUAUUGGACAAUGGGCGAAAGCCUGAUCCAGCAACGCCGCGUGAGGGAUGCCGGCCUUCGGGUUGUAAACCUCUUUCAGCAGGGGCGAAGCGCAAGUGACGGUACCUGCAGAAGUAGCACCGGCCAACUACGUGCCAGCCGCCGCAGUAAAAC
rnacentral:rRNA from 1 species